CGUAGGUGGCAAGCGUUGUCCGGAAUUACUGGGUGUAAAGGGAGCGUAGGCGGGAACGCAAGUUGAAUGUGAAAUUUACGGGCUCAACUCGUAAACUGCGUUCAAAACUGUGUUUCUUGAGUUAAGUAGAGGCAGGCGGAAUUCCCUGUGUAGCGGUGAAAUGCGCAGAUAUAGGGAGGAACACCAGUGGCGAAGGCGGCCUGCUGGGCUUUUACUGACGCUGAGGCUCGAAAGCGUGGGUAGCAAACAGGAUUAGAUACCCUGGUAGUCCACGCUGUAAACGAUGAUUACUAGGUGUGGGGGGACAGACCCCCUCCGUGCCGGAGUUAACACAAUAAGUAAUCCACCUGGGGAGUACGACCGCAAGGUUG
rnacentral:rRNA from 1 species